GCUCAAAGUGGACAAUAUUGUAUCAUUGUGGAGAGUCGUGAUUGUUAACCGAAAUCGAUUGAUUACUAAUGCAGGUUUGUCAUAUAAUCAUAUAUAUUCAGGAGAGGUCGUGGUUUGAUACUAAUGUUUUGAAAAAAUUAAGAACAUUACGGUCUGCUAAGUAUGCAUUGGUAAAAUCUCGACCUAAACCUCCAUUGCCGUCUAGGCUGCGUUCUUCAUCUGCUCCAUAUUCCUCAUUGUUUCCUGGACGGUGUACACCAGUGAUACUCUUUAUUUUCAUUGAUGACUUCUCAGAUGGCCUCAUCACUAAUUUCAGCAAGAAAUUGCAGUCAUCUCUUGAAGCACAAAUUCGCUUUCUAAUCAAGAAUUUUUGGAGGCUUAAUGGUUCUAGAGGUGGAAGGGCCUCAAGAACUGCAUCUUUGUUUCCACUUGAUGCAUUAAAAGCUGUUGUUCUUGUGGACAGGUCUGCAAAUAGAACAGCUGAAUCUCUAGAGUUUGCCAUUAGCCUUAUGGAAGAUGUUUCAGAUUCUCUUCUGCUUGAAAGCCAUGGUGAAAGUGCUAGCGAAGAGGAUUUAGUGUCUCUAAAGGAGUUUAUUUCUCGGCGGGCUGACAUUCUAAGGGGUGGAGCCUUUACUACUCAUGAACUUCCAAGUAUGGAGAUUUGGUUAUCUUCAAGCAAACGAAUUCUCCAGGGGAUUCUCUCUGCAAAAUGUGGUUGCAUAGAUAAACUGGAAACCAGAAAACGAAAACCACGUCCUUGGUACGUUCCUUCGGUAUCGAUCGAGAGAAAUGCUUUAGGUAUCGCCUUAUCUAGGUUUUCAACUUCAUGGUGUGAAAGAGUAUUACCAGGUGCUAAGGAGGUUUACCUAAGAGAUUUACCUGCAUACUACUUCAAAUCAUAGCAUGAAGCCCACGUGGAGAAGGCUGUGCUUGCUUUACAUUCAAUGGUUAAGGGGCCUGCGGUGCAACAUUUUGCAGAAAGGUUGAAGGAAGAAUGCAAAUCCAUUUGGAUGUCAGGGAGGUAGCUAUGUGAUGCUGUUAGUCUGACUGGAAAACCAUGUCUGCAUCAGAGACAGCUCGGAGGAUCAUUCAAGUGGAUAUGUUUUCCGACAUGCUUGUGGUUGCGGCCGUUCACGGCGACUACGAACCGACCCUUUUGAUUUUGAAUUGGUGAAUGUUACUUUCAAUCGUUUUGCUGGCUGUGACAAUUUUCUUGCAGUUGUCCAGUUACCAGGAGUAAGCAUAACAGGACAUAUUCAGUUAUCAUCAUGGACUUUGAUUCGAGUUGGUGGUGCAAAGUACUAUGAAGCUUCAAAAGGUUUGCUUCAGAGUGGAUUUUAUCCUACUCAAAGGUUCUUAUCCAAAUGGAAAAUUAGUGCACAAAUGAGGGAGAGUCCAAUAGAUUUUAGCAUGAAUGCCCUCAUGGGCACCGUUUCCUACUGAAUCCUGACCAUCUUAAGGAGCUUGGAUCGUCUUAUGCUGCAUGCAAUGUGGCUGAUCCUCUCAAAUAUGGUAAACGUGGUCGUCAUGGUAAAGCUCGUGAUAGUGUUAAUGCAGCAAAUGCCACCAUUCCAAGUAAGUCAAACUGCAUAAGAAGGAUGAUAGCAAAUGGGAUUGAGGACAAUGGAUGUGGUUUGUUCAUGUUGAAUCGGGACCUACCAAUUUUCAUGAACUGCCCACAUUGCAAGCUCUCAAAGAAUGGGAAAGAUCCCCCAAAUGUUAAGAUCUGUGGCACAAUAUCUCAACUUCAAAGGAUUUUCAUGGUAUGCCAUUCUUUUAUGAGUUUCUUGGUCGUCUGUUAUUUGUCAUACUGUUUUCUUUUGAUGGCAGGUGACGCCUCCCUUUCCAAUAGUGUUGGGUACACAUCCAGUGAUACAAUUUGAGGAGUUGGGCUUGCCCCCUGCUGUUCCUGAACGGCAGCAGAAACUGCAGUUCACAUUUGGAUGUCUAGUGGUGUUGCCUCCCGAGAGCUUCCUGACACUUAGGCUUCCAUUUGUUUAUGGUUUGCAACUUGAGGAUGGAAGUCUUCACCCUCUUAACCCUCUCCAACAUCAACCUGAAGCGACUGCAUGGAUAAUUGGGGGUUCAACGUUACAGAUCCUGUCAAAGCCUGGCUGUCUGGAUGAGGGAUCUCAAACAUAAUCAAAAUCUUAAACACUGGAAGCUUGAUCUGUCUGAUCUGCAGCAGCCAGUCCAGGCAGCCCUGUUCCUCCAAAACUCAUGGCAGUAUCUGCGAGUCCAAAUUA